rnacentral:rRNA from 1 species
UAGUGAGUUUGAUCCUGGCUCAGAACGAACGUUGGCGGCGUGGAUUAGGCAUGCAAGUCGGGGGUGCCAGCAAUGGCAACCGGCGUAAGGGGCAGUAAGGCAUGGGUACCUACCGUUGGGUUCGGGAUAGCCAUCAGAGAUGGUGGGUAAUACCGGAUGACCUGGUGACAGCAAAGAUUUAUCGCCCGAUGAGGGGGCCCACGUGAUAUUAGCUAGUUGGUGGGGUAACGGCCCACCAAGGCUUAGAUGUCUAGCGGGUGUGAGAGCACGACCCGCGCCACUCGCACUGAGACACUGGCGAGACACCUACGGGUGGCUGCAGUCGAGGAUCUUCGGGCAAUGGGGGCAACCCUGACCGAGCGAUGCCGCGU